UACAGAGGUCUCAAGCGUUGUUCGGAUUCAUUGGGCGUAAAGGGUGUGUAGGUGGCGCGCUAAGUCGGGUGUGAAAUUUCGGAGCUUAACUCCGAAACUGCAUUCGAUACUGGCGUGCUUGAGGACUGGAGAGGAGACUGGAAUUCAUGGUGUAGCAGUGAAAUGCGUAGAGAUCAUGAGGAAGACCAGUGGCGAAGGCGGGGUCUCUGGACAGUUCCUGACACUGAGACACGAAGGCCAGGGGAGCAAACAGG
rnacentral:rRNA from 1 species